rnacentral:rRNA from 1 species
AUGGAUGUUGAAUCUAACAUCAGGGCAGAGGCGUCAAGCUACCAAUGGAACACCGGAAAGCCGAAACACCUAGUAGAAAACCAAGACAUCGACGCAGAUGACGAGGAUCUUGAUAUGCCAGAUUUUGCUGCUAUGAUUGCAGAUUUUGAGGGCCCAAAAAAGGAUAUGAUUGGGUACAAGGAUCUGCCAACCAUUGAUGUGGACUCCAAGAAAGAAUUGUAUCUAGGUUGCAAAAAUAAAUAUUCCAGGUUAAGUGCCACCCUGGUGCUUCUCAGAUUUAAAGCAGCAAAUGGUUUAUCAAACAAGGGCUUCACAGAUAUGUUAGGCCUUUUCAAAGAAAUUCUUCCGAAAGAUAAUGUGCUCCCCAGGAGCACGAAUGAAGCGAAGAAAAUUGUUUGUCCAUUGGAACUUGAAGUACAUAAGAUACACGCUUGUGUGAAUCAUUUUAUAUUGUACCGUGGUGAGUAUAAAGAUUUAUGUGCAUGUCCCACAUGCAAGCAUGCACGAUACAAGCGCAUGAGAGCAAAGGAAAAGUACAAAUUGGACGACGAUAUCAAGACAGGAAUCCGUUCAAGGUUGUUUGGUACCUGCCUUUAA